rnacentral:rRNA from 1 species
AUAGGAAGAAAUAAGGCAUCUUUUUUCUUUUAAAAGACCUAGUGAUAGGUAUACUUUAGGAGGGGCUUGCGCCAUAUUAGUUAGUUGGUAGGGUAAUGGCCUACCAAGACGAUGAUGUGUAGCUGGACUGAGAGGUUGAACAGCCACAUUGGGACUGAGACACGGCCCAAACUCCUACGGGAGGCAGCAGUAGGGAAUUUUCGGCAAUGGAGGAAACUCUGACCGAGCAACGCCGCGUGAACGACGAAGUACUUUGGUAUGUAAAGUUCUUUUAUCAAAGGAAGAAAAGCAAGUGGUGAACCAUUUGUUUGCCGGUACUUGAGAAUAAGCCCCGGCUAAUUAUGUGCCAGCAGCCGCGGUAAGACAUAAGGGGCAAGUGUUAUCCGGAAUUAUUGGGCGUAAAGGGUGCGUAGGCGGUCUAGUAAGUCAGUGGUGUAAUGGCAACGCUCAACGUUGUCCGGCUAUUGAAACUGCUAAACUUGAGUUAGAUAGAGGCGAGUGGAAUUCCAUGUGUAGCGGUAAAAUGCGUAAAUAUAUGGAGGAACACCAGAGGCGUAGGCGGCUCGCUGGGUCUUAACUGACGCUGAGGCACGAAAGCGUGGGGAGCAAACAGGAUUAGAUACCCUGGUAGUCCACGCCGUAAACGAUGAGUACUAAGUGUCGGGUUAAACCGGUACUGAAGUUAACACAUUAAGUACUCCGCCUGAGUAGUACGUACGCAAGUAUGAAACUUAAAGGAAUUGACGGGACUCCGCACAAGCGGUGGAUCAUGUUGUUUAAUUCGAAGAUACCCGAAAAACCUUACCAGGUCUUGACAUGUUUUUGCGAAACGGUAGUAAUAUCGUGGAGGUUAUCAGAAACACAGGUGGUGCAUGGUUGUCGUCAGCUCGUGUCGUGAGAUGUUAGGUUAAGUCCUAAAACGAGCGAAACCCUUAUCGUUAGUUGCCAGCACGUUAUGGUGGGGACUUUAACGAGACUGCCAGUGAUAAAUUGGAGGAAGGUGAGGAUCACGUCAAAUCAGCAUGCCCCUUAUGACCUGGGCUACAAACGUGAUACAAUGGCUGUUACAAAGGGUAGCUGAAACGCAAGUUCUUGGCCAAUCCCCAAAAACAGUCUCAGUCCGGAUUGAAGUCUGCAACUCGACUUCAUGAAGUUGGAAUCGCUAGUAAUCGCGAAUCAGCAUGUCGCGGUGAAUACGUUCUCGGGGUUUGUACACACCGCCCGUCAAACCACGAAAGUUGGCAAUACCCCAAAACGGUAGCCUAACUCGUUUAUCGAGAGGGCGCUGUCUAAGGUAGGGUCGAUGAUUGGGGUUAAGUCGUAACAAGGUAUCCCUACCGGAAGGUGGGGAUG